rnacentral:rRNA from 1 species
GACGAACGCUGGCGGCGUGCUUAACACAUGCAAGUCGAACGGAAAGGCCCUGCUUUUGUGGGGUGCUCGAGUGGCGAACGGGUGAGUAACACGUGAGUAACCUGCCCUUGACUUUGGGAUAACUUCAGGAAACUGGGGCUAAUACCGGAUAGGAGCUCCUGCUGCAUGGUGGGGGUUGGAAAGUUUCGGCGGUUGGGGAUGGACUCGCGGCUUAUCAGCUUGUUGGUGGGGUAGUGGCUUACCAAGGCUUUGACGGGUAGCCGGCCGGGGGGGGUGACCGGGCACAGUGGGGCUGAGCUACGGCCCAGACUCCCACGGGGGGCAGGAGGGGGGAAUUUUGCACAAGGGGGGGAAGCCUGAUGCCGCAACGCCGCGGGGGGGAUGGCGGCCUUUGGGUUGGAAACCGCCUUCCGCAGGGGCGAAGCGUGGGGUGACGGUAGCGGCAAAAGAAGCACCGGCUAACUACGUG